ACGCACGCUGGCGGCGUGCCUAAUACAUGCAAGUUGAGCGCUGAAGGUUGGUACUUGUACCGACUGGAUGAGCAGCGAACGGGUGAGUAACGCGUGGGGAAUCUGCCUUUGAGCGGGGGACAACAUUUGGAAACGAAUGCUAAUACCGCAUAAAAACUUUAAACACAAGUUUUAAGUUUGAAAGAUGCAAUUGCAUCACUCAAAGAUGAUCCCGCGUUGUAUUAGCUAGUUGGUGAGGUAAAGGCUCACCAAGGCGAUGAUACAUAGCCGACCUGAGAGGGUGAUCGGCCACAUUGGGACUGAGACACGGCCCAAACUCCUACGGGAGGCAGCAGUAGGGAAUCUUCGGCAAUGGACGAAAGUCUGACCGAGCAACGCCGCGUGAGUGAAGAAGGUUGUCGGAUCGUAAAACUCUGUUGGUAGAGAAGAACGUUGGUGAGAGUGGAAAGCUCAUCAAGUGACGGUAACUACCCAGAAAGGGACGGCUAACUACGUG
rnacentral:rRNA from 1 species